CCAAUAGCGUAUAUUAAAGUUGUUGCAGUUAAAAAGCUCGUAGUUGAAUUUCGGGAUCAAUACGUCGGUCGUGCCUCUGGUAUGUACUGGUGUUAUUGAUUCCUCCUUUCUGAUGAACCAUGAUGUCAUUAAUUUGGUGUUGUGGGGAGUCAGGACUAUUACUUUGAAAAAAUUAGAGUGUUUAAAGCAGGCCUACGCUUGAAUACAUUAGCAUGGAAUAAUGAAAUAGGACGUUCGAACCUAUUUUGUUGGUUUCUAGGAUCAACGUAAUGAUUAAUAGGGAUAGUUGGGGGCAUUAGUAUUCAAUUGUCAGAGGUGAAAUUCUUGGAUUUAUUGAAGACUAACUACUGCGAAAGCAUUUGCCAAGGAUGUUUUCAUUAAUCAAGAACGAAAGUUAGGGGAUCGAAGACGAUCAGAUACCGUCGUAGUCUUAACCAUAAACUAUGCCGACUAGGGAUCGGAUGAUGUUAAUUUUUUAAUGACUCAUUCGGCGCCUUACG
rnacentral:rRNA from 1 species